UACGUAGGGUGCAAGCGUUAAUCGGAAUUACUGGGCGUAAAGCGUGCGCAGGCGGUUGUGCAAGACAGAUGUGAAAUCCCCGGGCUUAACCUGGGAACUGCAUUUGUGACUGUACGGCUGGAGUGCGGCAGAGGGGGAUGGAAUUCCGGCGUGUAGCAGUGAAAUGCGUAGAUAUGCGGAGGAACACCGAUGGCGAAGGCAAUCCCCUGGGCCUGCACUGACGCUCAUGCACGAAAGCGUGGGGAGCAAACAGG
rnacentral:rRNA from 1 species